GACGAACGCUGGCGGCGUGCUUAACACAUGCAAGUCGAACGGUGAAGCGAGUGCUUGCACUCGUGGAUCAGUGGCGAACGGGUGAGUAACACGUGAGUAACCUGCCCAUCACUCUGGGAUAAGCACUGGAAACGGUGUCUAAUACGGGAUACGACCAACCCUUGUAUGGGGUGUUGGUGGAAAUGUUUAUCGGUGAUGGAUGGACUCGCGGCCUAUCAGCUUGUUGGCGGGGUAAUGGCCCACCAAGGCGACGACGGGUAGCCGGCCUGAGAGGGUGACCGGCCACACUGGGACUGAGACACGGCCCAGACUCCUACGGGAGGCAGCAGUGGGGAAUAUUGCACAAUGGGCGAAAGCCUGAUGCAGCGACGCCGCGUGAGGGAUGACGGCCUUCGGGUUGUAAACCUCUUUCAGCAGGGAAGAAGCGAAAGUGACGGUACCUGCAGAAGAAGCACCGGCUAACUACGUG
rnacentral:rRNA from 1 species